UUGGAGGGCAGUCUGGUGCCAGCAGCCGCGGUAAUUCCAGCUCCAAUAGCGUAUAUUAAAAUUGUUGCAGUUAAAAAGCUCGUAGUUGAAUUUCUGCUGCAUUGCUUGUGUCCCUCUGGGGUCUGUGCAUGUGGCUUUUUUCGGACGGAGUUUCUUUGUCUGAAUGUUUACUUUGAGAAAAUUAGAGUGCUCAAAGCAGGCUUUCGCCUUGAAUAGUUUAGCAUGGAAUAAUAAAGUAGGACUUUGGUUCUAUUUUGUUGGUUUUAGGUACCAAAGUAAUGGUUAAUAGGAACAGUUGGGGGCAUUCGUAUUUAACUGUCAGAGGUGAAAUUCUUAGAUUUGUUAAAGACGAACUACUGCGAAAGCAUUUGCCAAGGAUGUUUUCAUUAAUCAAGAACGAAAGUUAGGGGAUCGAAGACGAUCAGAUACCGUCGUAGUC
rnacentral:rRNA from 1 species